rnacentral:rRNA from 1 species
AACGGCCGUACCAUGCUGAAUAUACCGGUUCUCGUUAGAUCACCGAAGUUAAGCAUCAUUGGGCGCGGUCAGUACUUGGGUGGGUGACCACCUGGGCAACACUGCGUGCCGU